GAUGAAGAACGUAGCGAAAUGCGAUAAGUAAUGCGAAUUGCAGAAUUUCCGUGAGUCAUCGAAUCUUUGAACGCACAUUGCGCCCACUGGUAUUCCGGUGGGCAUGCCUGUUCGAGCGUCAUUAUCCCCCCUCAAACCCCGUGUUUGGUGUUAGACCCAAGUUGUGUGAACAACUGGUCUCAAAGACAAUGACGGCGUCCGUGGGACCCUCGGUGCAACGAGCUUUUAGGAGCACGCGCUGAGUGUCAAGGACCCUCCGGGCCGGUCUCCUAUUUAUCAUCAAGGUUGACCUCGGAUCAGGUAGGAAUACCCGCUGAACUUAAGCAUAUCAAUAAGCGGAGGA
rnacentral:misc_RNA from 1 species